rnacentral:lncRNA from 1 species
GAAUAUUCAUUAUUCCCUCCAUUCUUUUCCUAAGUGCCCUUGAAAAUUGGAACUCACUGGAGAAAUCUAGCCUGCGAGUCUCAUUUAUGAAAGCUCUGGUCCUUAGACAAUCAGCUGGAACCUACUCAACAUGUACAACACUGCCAGUCAGGCUCAUCUGUCAAGUGAAAGGGCAGAGGAGUGACAAGCUUUCAAAGAAGGAUGUCAAAAAUGUAUGAUUCUUGGCAGAACUUGCACUGCACUCUCAGCAACAUGUUCCCUGUGUUAGGAUGUCGCCCCGCCUUCCAGCAGGCGAUGAGGCUGGUUUUACAGGAACUUGGCAUGGUAGCUGUCCAAGAAGACAAUGAAACAUUCAGGAUUUCAUGUUCAAAUCCAAGCCCGAUGGUUGCCAGUAUCUGGGCAUGUGCAUUUUGAAUUCAAAUAUAUUUGAUGAAGCCAUACUACAUUUACCUUGUGACAGAUGUGCUUAAUAUCUACAGCCUUAAAUGCAUCAUUAAAAGGUAUAGAAC